rnacentral:snRNA from 1 species
GUGCUUGCUUCGGCAGCACAUAUACUAAAAUUGAAAUGAUACAGAGAAGAUUAGCAUGGCCCCUGCACAAGGAUGAUAAAGGAUGAUACGCAAAUUCUU